UGUGACGGAGGCGCCCACGUGCUCGGCCCGCCCGUGUUACGGCCGCCUACCGGCUGCAGAGGAGAAGGGAGGAAAGGGUGGAAUCUCAACACAAGUGGUAGGCAACUUUGAAAACAAUAAAUAGAUGAAGAAUGGAGAGACCUCAAAAGGAGAGUCUGGGAACCCUAGCCAAAGACCCACAUAUGCUACCAUGUGGCCCUCCCUACUCAACCUCAGUAUAUCUUUACUGAAAAACACAUGCCAAAGAACAACACCCAGAGAGCUGGAAACACUGGAAAAGAUUUCGUGAUGCCCCCAACUUUACUUUAUAGGGAAGGCUAUAAUGUGGUAAAAUCGUGGGGACUUAAUUCCAUCAUAUGGAGGUUACUGAAUGUAUCAGAGACAGCCUGCAGUUCAUCACCACACAAAUUAGGAGCAACGUAAGAAGAGAAAAAGAAAAAGGAAUUACAGAUUAAAAAAUGCAAGAGAAUAUAAACAAAUAAAAAUAUGUUCAACUGGAAUUUGUAUUGGGAUUGUAUUAAAUGGAUGAACUAAUUUGUGAAGAAAUGAUAUCAUUCCAUCCAAGA
rnacentral:lncRNA from 1 species